UGGGCUGAGCGAGAGCGCGGGCGGGCCGCGGGGGCCGGGCAUGGUGCUCUGAGGCGCUCUCGUUUCGCUGCGAGGGUCUGCUGAGGGUCAAUUGAUUUGCCUUUCAGCGCGGGGGGAGAAAGAGUUUUAACCCCGUUUUUUUGUUAGUGGAGACCUGUAAAGAGAAGGAAAUGAAAACUGAAAUAGUCACACGGUGUUGUGUCCCUUCCAGCUAACUGCUACGAAACACUCCUUGCUGCAGCGUGGGCUUGCACAGAUUCCUGUGCUUCCGCCUCAAGAAGCACAGACAAGCAUAAGGAAGUCUCAGGGCAAAUCCUGUUUAGGAGACAGCUGCACAGAAAAGAUAAUUCAAGAGUAGACCAUAGCAGGUCAAAUAUGAAGAGUGGCUUCCCACCUCUGCUCCCAGCAGUACGUGCUAGCCAAAAGCUGUUAGGGAGUUGUUUCCAGACAACUGAGAGCAUUUUAAAGGCCACACUCACCUGGGUGUUGGGUUUGAAUAGCAGAUUUUCCCUUCUGUAGAUUCUCCCUUCUCGUCUGGUGUUACAGUGUGAGCUCCCAGCCUUGUUUCAGUGUGCUUGCUCUCUGGGCUGAAGACCACAUAUUAGCUCGGAGCAGCAUUCGGGCAGCACUUUUAACAAGGAGCUUCUCGUCUGUUUGACAUGGGAGUAGAGAAAAGUUGGGCAGGCCAUGCAGUAUGGGUUCUUACAUAGGCCUCUGUAUGGAUGAGUGUGAUACUUGUGUGCAAAGGACAGGAAAUCUCAGAAGGGAGAACACGUCACUAAGGACAGAGAGAUCAGGACUAGCUCAGCCUGACCACGGAAAUGUCAAUGGGAAGAAGGAGCAGGACACAGUGGCGACCUUCCUUCUGCUGCCCUUGGAAGCUCUGUCUGGGACACGUGCCUUUGACCAGGUGCACCUGGUCAAAGAGGAUCCAGCUGCCCACCCUGUCUGCCUCUCUCCAGUGUGCCCCCUGUGACUGGGGAGAAAAAAAGGACACGAAGCUGCAGAGCGUGAAGCGAGUUGCAGGUCCUGUCUGUCCAAGGGAUCACAUUUGCUGGACCACAUGGGCUGGCAAGUACCAGGGCCAAUGUGACCAAGCCACGGCCCUGAAGAGGGGCCAAGUCUCCUGGGGAGCUGGAGCCCAAAGGAUCCUUUCGGACUGACUGAGCUGAAGAUCCCUUUGGGCUGGUGAGCUGGUGGAGCUUCCCCUGGCUGUAGUCAGCAACAGCGUGGUGUGGGAAAUGUGCCUCGGCCUCACCUUGCUUUGCUGCCCACAUACUGCGGUUUCCCAGGUAGGGCACGAGCCUGCUGGGGCUGCAUUUUGCUGAGACAGUGUCCUAAAGUCUUUCAAAAACAUCAGCAUAAAUUACCUUGUUUCAUUCCAUCUACAACUUGAAAAUGUCCCUUUUCUCUUAAGAGCAGCAUUAAAACAGAAAGGAGAGGUGGAUUUCUGUCCUUGCUUAUGAGGAGGGGGGGGAGAAUUACUUUUUUUUUUUUUUUUUUUUAGGNUGACCCUUGUGGGUCCCUUCCACCUCGGGCUAUUCUACAAUACCACGAUUCCAUGCCCUAAACCCGAUUUCCAACGUUCAGUCGCAAUUUGCUUCUACACUUCAUCCCCACCUCGUUAAUCCAGCCCCCCAAGGCCAGAAACCCCGCUCAGCACCGCGGACAGCGCCGGCCCCGUCCCGGCCCCGUCCCAUCCCGGUCCCGGGCCGGGCGCCGUGGGCGGCCGCCAUUUUGUCGUCGUCCCGCCCCGCCGCCCUGGGCUGAGCGAGAGCGCGGGCGGGCCGCGGGGGCCGGGCAUGGUGCUCUGAGGCGCUCUCGUUUCGCUGCGAGGGUCUGCUGAGGGUCAAUUGAUUUGCCUUUCAGCGCGGGGGGAGAAAGAGUUUUAACCCCGUUUUUUUGUUAGUGGAGACCUGUAAAGAGAAGGAAAUGAAAACUGAAAUAGUCACACGGUGUUGUGUCCCUUCCAGCUAACUGCUACGAAACACUCCUUGCUGCAGCGUGGGCUUGCACAGAUUCCUGUGCUUCCGCCUCAAGAAGCAAAGACAAGCAUAAGGAAGUCUCAGGGCAAAUCCUGUUUAGGAGACAGCUGCACAGAAAAGAUAAUUCAAGAGUAGACCAUAGCAGGUCAAAUAUGAAGAGUGGCUUCCCACCUCUGCU
ensembl:lncRNA